rnacentral:rRNA from 1 species
AGAGUUUGAUCCUGGCUCAGAACGAACGCUGGCGGUAGGCUUAACACAUGCAAGUUGAACGGUAUUUGGUGGUAGCUUGCUAUCAUUGAAGAGAGUAGCGCACUGGUGAGUAACACGUGGGAACGUACAUUGUAGUGGGGGACAACAGAGGGAAACUUCUGCUAAUACCGCAUAAUCCCUGAGGGGGAAAGAUUUAUCGCUAUAAUAUCGGCCCGCGGCAGAUUAGGUAGUUGGUGGGGUAAAGGCCUACCAAGCCUACGAUCUAUAGCUGGUCUGAGAGGACGAUCAGCCACAUUGGAACUGAGACACGGUCCAGACUCCUACGGGAGGCAGCAGUGAGGAAUAUUGGGCAAUGGAGGGAACUCUGACCCAGCCAUGCCGCGUGAGUGAGAAGGUUUUCGAAUUGUAAAGCUCUUUCGGGUGUGAAGAUGAUGACGGUAGCACCAGAAGAAGCCCCGGCAAACUUCGUGCCAGCAGCCGCGGUAAUACGAAGGGGGCGAGCGUUGUUCGGAAUUACUGGGCGUAAAGGGUGUGUAGGCGGUUUAAUAAGAUAGUGGUGAAAUGCCGGAGCUCAACUUUGGAAUUGCCAUUAUGACUGUUAGGCUAGAAUGAUGUAGAGGAUAGCGGAAUACCCAGUGUAGAGGUGAAAUUCGUAGAUAUUGGGUAGAACACCAGAGGCGAAGGCGGCUAUCUGGGCAUAAAUUGACGCUGAGGCACGAAAGCAUGGGGAUCAAACAGGAUUAGAUACCCUGGUAGUCCAUGCUGUAAACGAUGAAUGCUAGUUGUUGGCCGUAAGUCAGUGACGGAGUAAACACAAUAA